AUGCAUCUAUUUGUCAGACCUAUUCGGUACAGUUACUGUCUGCUGCUACAAUUUCCACUACAGAUGCAAGAAAAAAUUGUCCUCGUGCUUUCUGUCUGAUUGUGGCAGCCAAGACUGAAUGGGAGAAUGCAGAG
ensembl:snoRNA